GGGGCUGAUUCUGGAUUCGACGGGAUUCGCGAAACCCAAGGUGCAUGCCGAGGGGCGGUUGGCCUCGUAAAAAGCCGCAAAAAAAUAGUCGCAAACGACGAAAACUACGCUUUAGCAGCUUAAUAACCUGCUUAGAGCCCUCUCUCCCUAGCCUCCGCUCUUAGGACGGGGAUCAAGAGAGGUCAAACCCAAAAGAGAUCGCGUGGAUGCCCUGCCUGGGGUUGAAGCGUUAAAACUAAUCAGGCUAGUCUGGUAGUGGCGUGUCCGUCCGCAGCUGCCAGGCGAAUGUAAAGACUGGACUAAGCAUGUAGUACCGAGGAUGUAGGAAUUUCGGACGCGGGUUCAACUCCCGCCAGCUCCACCA
rnacentral:tmRNA from 10 species